CAGUUAAAAAGCUCGUAGUUGGAUUUCUGCGGGGACGGGGCGGCCGGUCGCAACUUGCGACUCGAGCUAGCACUUUCCCCGCAUCCUGCCGCGAACCGUGCUACCAUUAGUUUGGUGGCGCUGGGGAUCGGCUCGAUUACUUUGAGAAAAAUAGAGUGUUCAAAGCAGGCCACACGCCUUGAAUAAGUUAGCAUGGAAUAAUGACUAAGGACUUUGGUUCUUUUCGUUGGUGUUCGGGACUGAAGUAAUGAUUGAUAGGGACAGUUGGGGCGGUCUGUAUUCCAAAGCGAGAGGUGAAAUUCUUAGACCUUCGGAAGACAAACAGCUGCGAAAGCGUACCGCAAGGAUGUUCCCUUUGAUCAAGAACGAAAGUUGGGGGAUCGAAGACGAUCAGAUACCGUCGUAGUCUCAACUAUAAACUACACCAGCUAGGGAUCGGCCAACGUUUAAUUAUUCGACUUGGUCGGCACCUUAUGAGAAAUCAAAGCAUCUGGGUUCCGGGGGGAGUAUGGUCGCAAGGCUGAAACUUAAAGGAAUUGACGGAAGGGCACCACCAGCCGUGGAGCCUGUGGCUUAAUUUGACUCAACACGGGAAAACUUACCAGGUCCAGACAUAGUAAGGAUUGACAGAUUGAUAGCUCUUUCUUGAUUCUGUGGGUGGUGGUGCAU
rnacentral:rRNA from 1 species